CUAAAAGAUGGGAUUACAGGGAAAAGUUUUUUUAAAUUUAAUAAUUGAAGUUAUUUUAAUUUGUGAAGAAACAAUUAUAUAAAUUAAAGACAAGAAGACCCUAAGAAUUUAAGAAUUUUUAUUAAUAUAUUAUAUGUAUAUAUAUAUAAAUAAAAUUCUUAGUUGGGGCAACUAAAAAAUAUAUUAAACUUUUUUUUUAAAAAAA
rnacentral:rRNA from 1 species